rnacentral:lncRNA from 1 species
AUAGGAAACCUCUGUUCCUAUAUUGUGGGGCUCCCCUGAGUCCCUAGAUUCCUUAGAGUGAUUUGGGCAUCUGUUUGUCUGGGCAAGCUUUGUCUUUGGGGCUCUUUCAAGCCAAUCUGCACUUCUUUUGAGCUAUUUAGAAUCAUGCUGGCGUGACAUAGAAGCUUGAAUUCUGUGCCUGGGAGCAGGGAAUGGGCUACAAGGCACACAGAGACAAAGGUCUCAUGUUGCCCAGGCUAGCCUCCAUCUCUGGAUGUGUGGAAGGAUGAUCUUAAAUUUCAGAUCCUCCCACUUCUACCUCUCGAGUGUUGGAGUUACAGCCAUGUACUGCCAUAGUUGGUUACACAGUGAUGGGGAAUCAAACCAGAGCCUGAUGCACGCUGGAUAUGCACUCUACAGCCAAGGUGAAGUUAAAAUGAAGCACUUAGGGUAGAUCCUAGUCCAGGGCCUUGGGAAUCCAGACAAACACAAAAGGGUGAAGACACAGAAAUCAGACAAGUAAAGAAGCCGAGGCUCAUCAAAUCCUGGAACUGUGACCGACUCUAACCCUGAAGUCCUUGCGUUCAUUUAACCCUUUAAGGAAGGGUACGGAGGUGUACAUUCAUCCUUUAUUACAAAGCCUAUGUCUGAUAUGGAAAAAGAAAAGCUUUAUUCGGAACCUUUGGAAGAAUCUUAAGACUAUGAUUUCGUCUUUGGUCACUCCUUUGGAAUUUUUUGACGCGGGCAUUAACAUGGGCUAAGGUGGUCCUCGCAGCCCCACCCACGGGCGCACUUCCAGCUUCCGGCAGCAGGGGGAGCAUGUGUGCAAGAGGAGGAAAGGUGCACCCGGCAGGAAGUGUCAGUGCAUGGUCUGUCCUUAGCAGGUCCAGGCUAAGAAUACAUUCAUUUUUCUCCUUCAACAUUUAGAACCAGUGGCUGCAGGCUUCUCUACAGAGAUUCAUGCUUCCUCGUUUGUAAAGCCGGGAAAACAGUUCUGGGACUUGUAGAAAGAGGUCUCUGCUGCAUCCAAGGGAGGAAAAAAAAAUCUCAUGAAGGAGCCAGGCUUGGCUGCUGGCUUCUGUUGAGAAAGGAGAACUCAGCAAGCAGGACAAAGGGCCACCCUGAGUGCAAGCAGCACAGGACUUCUCCCGUUGACUUCCUGAGACCACCUCAAGGCUUGGAAGCUGCGCUAGUUCUGGCUUCUCCAAUGGUACAGGCUUGGGUCUCAGGCACCUGUAGGUGCUACUCACAUGGCAGAGCCCGUGAAUUAUGGCAGAGCCCGUGAAUUUCU